CUUCCCCUCCUUCUACACGCCAUCCUUUUCCUCUGCUGCAGCUGGUGCAUGAAACCAGCAGCUUGUCAUCAUCACCACGUCCUACUACCCCAUCUCCAGAAGCAACCCUCGCUUCUCUGCAACCUCUUCUCCUUUCCCUUCUUUUUUUUUUUCUUCCGCCUCUCAUCAGACUCAUUCCCUGCCCUCUUCCUACCCGUUUCUUCUUCUGUUUUUUUUCCUGACACACGAAAACUCCAGCUCAAAAAAACGGACUAGGGACUCCCUUAGCGAAGCCGGGUUUCCCUCAGCUCGGGAACUUCCUCCGAGCUCACGGACGCCCCCCCUCAACUCUCUCUCCCUCACAGACCGGCCCACAGCUCGCUCCCGUGCCUCACCUCAGCUAACAUCCAUCAGCUCGUUCUCUCCACCGCCCUCAGCUCCUCCUCAACUCCCUCAACUCGCGCCUCACGCCCCUCAGCUCACACACGAGCCUUGCCUUCAGCUCACCUCCUAGCUAAAACGACGUCCUCUCAGCUUGCCCUCCUGCCUUCUCCUUGCCCGCAAAGACAUCACCAACUACCUCUCUCGACUCUCCAAGAAGGGGCACAACAGCAGCAACAUUCCUGACCCGAGUCUCCAAGCUAAGCCUUCGGCCUUUACGUUAUUUCCUUGCUCUCACUUUCGGUUUUCUCUCGUUUUCUGCCCUAUUGUUACUUCUCCGUGAUUUGCUUCACAUGGCCUUGCUCUCUUGCAGCUCUUUCUUCUCCAUGGUAGCCCCACCAACCGUUAGGGAAUCCUGGACAAUCCAUUUCAGCAUUGGGUUCGAGGGAUUAUUGAAGUCUCACGAGCUCCUCUCGAUACUAACCCGAGAAAGUGAGCAGGAGUGGAAUAAUGAUCAAAUGCAAACCAACCGGGUCCAUGUGCUGUAAUUUGUAUAUUUUACUUUAUCUCAAGUGAACAGUGCAAGGAUUUAUCUGUAUAUUCAUUUGUAAGGAUCCCGGUUGGCAAGCGAAUGAUUUCAAGUGACAGAAACGGUCGAAUCGAGUUAUGGACCCUUUAGAUAA